rnacentral:lncRNA from 1 species
UGAGAAUAAAACAGGACUCUGUUAGCUACUACAGACAGCUGGGCUGACCAAAUUGCUUGCCAUCCAGGAGAGUGGCAUUCUGUGGCUUUGCAGGUGCUGGGGAGUUAAAAAUAGCGUGGUUCACCUCUUGGACAGAUUUUGUUUCAGAAAUACAGAAGCCACUUCUGACCUAAUUGGUCAAAAUGCUGUUCCUUGGGAAAUAGCAUGGAAUGUCUUCUUUUCAAGGCAAAUGAUUUUGGGGGCUGAUGAGAGAGCUAGAAAGGGUCAUUCUGGUAGAGGAAAUAUUUUUAUCUGGGCCUCAGGAAAUGGUGGUCUGGCUAAUGACUGCAGUGGUGUGGAUGGUUAUGUGAACAGCAUUUACACAGGGGCAAAGGAUGCCAACAUAUACCUCUGCCCCACAGCUUCUGGUCUACAAGAACUACUCAGCAUCAGUGGCCACCUAGAUGAUCCAGCGAGGAAGGAGUGUGGAGGCUUCUAUCCUGAAAAAGACCUUCAAUGUGAAGCGAGGUGCGGUGUCAGCACAGAAGGAAGAAACAUUUUUCCUCCAAAAACUUUAGUGGAGCUUGUUUGCCCAAAGCAGAAGGACUUUUCUUCUUCCUUGAAGAUAUUCAGCGCUACUCUGCCAUCCAAAGAAUAA